rnacentral:tRNA from 1 species
GCAUCUUUAGCUCAGCUGGUAGAGCAACUGACUCUUAAUCAGUGGGUCCGGGGGUCGAGUCCCCGAAGAUGUACCA